rnacentral:rRNA from 1 species
GUCCUCGUGGCCGUCCGAGUUGUAAUCUAGAGAAGCGUCUUCCGCGCUGGACCGUGUACAAGUCUCCUGGAAGGGAGCGUCAUAGAGGGUGAGAAUCCCGUCUUUGACACGGACUGCCAGGGCUAUGUGAUGCGCUCUCGAAGAGUCGAGUUGUUUGGGAAUGCAGCUCAAAACGGGUGGUAAAUUCCAUCUAAAGCUAAAUACAGGCGAGAGACCGAUAGCGAACAAGUACCGUGAGGGAAAGAUGAAAAGAACUUUGGAAAGAGAGUUAAACAGUACGUGAAAUUGCUGAAAGGGAAACGCUUGAUGUCAGUCGCGUCCGCCAGGGAUCAACCUUGCAUUCGUUUGCUGGGCGCAAUUCUUGGUAGGACGGGUCAGCAUCAGUUUCGAUCGUCGUAGAAUGGUCAAGGGAAUGUGGCACCUCCAGGGGUGUGUUAUAGCCCUGGGUCGUAUGCGUCGGUAGGGACUGAGGAACUCGGCACGAACCCCUUUGUGUCUAGGAUGCUGGCAUAAUGGCCUUAAGCGACCCGUCUUGAAACACGGACCAAGGAGUCUAACAUGCCUGCGAGUGUUUGGGUGGUAAAACUCGAGCGCGCAAUGAAAGUGAAAGUCGAGAUCUCUGUCGU